UAUAGCUUAAUUUUUCUUCUGCUUUACUCCAUGGCGCAUAUUACUUCUAAAAGUACUAGAAUAUAAGCUCUGGGGCAGGGGUGUUGGGGGGAGACUGCUUGUUCACUAGAAUCCUAAACAAAGGGGAGAGAAUUUUCUUUGUUUGCUAGAAGAGUGCCUAGUAGGAGCUCAAUACAUAUGUGUUGAAUACAUAAAUGAACAAAUUAGAAGGAGAGAAGUACUUUAAAAUGAAUGAAGUCUCUCUUGUAUUUCUGCCUGUUAAUUUGUUAUCAGAGAAACUGCCUGAACCAUGGAGUUUGAAGGACCUCCUACAGAGAUUCCUUCCAAAAGCUGUCUCCCACACCUUCCUCAGGAGCCUUGGAGAGGGCAAGUUAUUCCAACCCAGACCCUUGGAAGGCCUCAGGAGGAGCCUGUGUGUGAGGUGCUGGCUGCUGAGGAAGAUCUGACCUUACAGAGGUGUCAACCCAGGGAAGGAGUAUGACAGUAAUCUCUGGACCAUGUGAUCAACAGGAGCUUUCCCACAGUCCACACCAAAGAUAAUACUUCCCGAACAAGAGGCUGAGACAGAGGAAAGACUGGUGAAGCAGACAAGCUAACCAACCAGACAGAAAAUUAGAUGCUCAUCCACAUGGCAAAUGUCGUCUUUGUUGAAAGACUCCUUUAAUAUGAAGCUAUUCUGGGGCAAUUUCAACAAGAGUUCGAGUUACAAAAGCACAUUUUGUGAGCAUAUAGAUUCCAUGUGCCCAAGGGACAUGCGUGGUACAUGGACAGUUUCAGAGCUGCCUUCUAAAGAAGGUGGGUACAGCUAAAAGCAGGGUUUUUGUCUCGCUGAGUGGGGUGUGUGAGUGUCCUGGAGACUCUGGAGAGGAGGCUGUGGAAUGAGGCACACCUCCUGUGACACA